rnacentral:rRNA from 1 species
GACGAACGCUGGCGGCGUGCCUAAUACAUGCAAGUCGAACGCACAGUUUAUACCGUAGCUUGCUACACCAUAGACUGUGAGUUGCGAACGGGUGAGUAACGCGUACGUAACCUGCCUGGUAGCGGGGGAUAACUAUUGGAAACGAUAGCUAAUACCGCAUAAUAUUGAUUAUUGCAUGAUAAUUGAUGGAAAGAUGCUAUUGCAUCACUACCAGAUGGACCUGCGUUGUAUUAGCUAGUAGGUGAGGUAACGGCUCACCUAGGCGAGGAUACAUAGCCGACCUGAGAGGGUGAGUAGCCGCACUGGGAGUGAGACCGGCCACAGAGUCCUACGGGAGGCAGCAGUAGGGAAUCUUCGGCAAUGAACGAAAGUCGUACCGAGCAACGCCGAGGGAGUGAGGAAGGUUGUCGGAUCGUAAAGCUCUGUUGUAAGAGAAGAAAGGGUGUGAGAGUGGAAAGUUCACAGUGUGACGGUAUCUUACAAGAAAGCGACGGCUAACUACGUG